GGGGAACCGAGGCGCGGACAAGGCAAGUGACCCCCAAGGUCAUACAAUUCUGCCAAGUGCUGAGCAAACACUGCGGACUGGACUUCUGGUCUACUGCUUUCCAUGGCAUCAGCUAAGAUGACUGCUCUGAACCUGGGGCUGCGGCAGCCUCUGAUGAUGGCCGUGAACAAAUAGAAGCUGAGGGUGAAGGACCUACAGCUGUCACCUUCAUCUCUUCUCAACACUGCCAACUGUCUCCUUGGAUCUCCCAGACAGACGACUAGGGACAUCUCUGGUUUCUCGGUGCUCCCUAGAAACCUAGGGUCAUUUCAAGGCAUUAUGCAAAUGAGCUUUCCUUCUCUUCACCUCAUCUCCUGAUCUGCACAAAAAUGACCGUAGGACCCACUGUAGGUACCAAUGUAGGCACCAAUCCUCAGUUUACCACCUGCUCUCUACUUGCUUCCCUGCCAUAACUUUCUAAAAGGGAUGUGAGCCAUGUUUAAAGUCACCUGGUCACUGGAGGGAUCUUGUUCUACACUCUACAUCAGUGGUUGCCAACCUUUUUGGCACCAGGGACUGGUGUUGUGGAAGACAAUUUUUCCACGGACUGGGGGAUGGGGGGAGUGGUUUCAGGAUAAAACUGCUCCACCUCAAAUCAUCAGGCAUUAGAUUCUCAUAAGGAGCACACAACCUAGAUUGCUAGCAGGCACAGUUCACAAUAGGGUUCGUUCUCCUGUGAGAAUGGCAUGCCGCUGCUGAUCUAACAGAGGCAGAGCUCAGGUGGUAAUGGGAGCAAGGGGGAGCGGCUCUAAAUACAGCUUGCCGCUCACCUCCUGCUGUGCAGCCCAGUUCCUAACAGGCCACAGAUGGUACUGGUCUGUAGCCCAGGAGUUUGGGAAUCCUGCUCUACAGAGUUUCCAACCUCAGAGAUGAAGCAUCCCCUCUGUAAGUCAGAAAGAAAUUAUUCAAGUAGGAGAAUUAAAACAGGAUCACAGAGAGGGAGGCUGAAGAAUUUGUCUUUCUGUGUUUACUUGUAUGAGGAAAAACGGCACAUGGAGGCAUCCACAGUAUUUAAUUUGUUUGUAUACUAGUUACAGAUAAACAGGUACACCCCAUAUACAAUUACCAAUACUUUUUAUACAGUUCAUAUUUCGGUACAUCAACACUAUUUUAUUUACACUCUAUUUAUGUACAUUAACAUCUUUCUAAAGUCAGUGCAUUGUCAACAAGUUUUAUACAGUAAUUUACAAGGUGAAUGUAGUUAAUAGUUAAUUUAAUAAAUUUUCUGCUAGUUCAUGAAUUAAAAAAAUUAAUUACAACCAGUAUAACAAACACAGAUCAAACAACAUUAGUAGAUUGAGCUACCUGCUUAAAUAAAACAUCUGUAAAGAAAUUAUUUAAAAUCUUCCACUUUUUAAUGGGAAUGGACAGAUUUUAUAUACUGAAAAUCUUGAAACUAUAAAGUAUGCAUUUUGUCUGACUUUAUUACAUUAGACAAUUUAGGUAGCCAUUUAAGAUAACCUUUCCAAAUGCUCUGAGAACUAGAUAUUAAUAGUUACUGGCCUCAGAUAUCAGAACACAAAUACUUAGUUACAUUGGUAAUUACUAUCUAUGAGGAAGAAAGGGUAGUGGAAUCUGACAAUUAAUGAGAAUC
rnacentral:lncRNA from 1 species